rnacentral:snoRNA from 1 species
UCCCUCUCAGGGUCGCACCUGGAGAGUUUCCAGUCCUCUACCAGUCUCAACUACGGGAGAGAGAGUCAAGCAGAGGCCUGUCCAUUCCAUUCCUAGCUUGGCCAGUGGCUAGCAAGUGGAAGGCCAUCUGCUACAAGU